rnacentral:rRNA from 1 species
GACGAACGCUGGCGGCGUGCCUAAUACAUGCAAGUCGAACGCAUUUUCUUUCACCGUAGCUUGCUACACCGAAAGAAAAUGAGUGGCGAACGGGUGAGUAACACGUGGGUAACCUGCCCAUCAGCGGGGGAUAACACUUGGAAACAGGUGCUAAUACCGCAUAAUUCCAUUUACCGCAUGGUAGAUGGAUGAAAGGCGCUUUUGCGUCACUGAUGGAUGGACCCGCGGUGCAUUAGCUAGUUGGUGGGGUAACGGCCUACCAAGGCUGCGAUGCAUAGCCGACCUGAGAGGGUGAUCGGCCACACUGGGACUGAGACACGGCCCAGACUCCUACGGGAGGCAGCAGUAGGGAAUCUUCGGCAAUGGACACAAGUCUGAACGAGCAACGCCGCGUGAGUGAAGAAGGUUGUCGGAUCGUAAAACUCUGUUGUUAGAGAAGAACAAGGAUGAGAGUGGAAAGUUCAUCCCUUGACGGUAUCUAACCAGAAAGCCACGGCUAACUACGUG